UCUGAAGCCGUGUGUGACCCCACCACAGAGCGACAGCUCUUCUCAGAACAUGCCCGUCCGCCCGCACACACGCACAUGCACAUGCACACGAUAUUAAAGUCAUAUUUUUGGUUGCUGGGAAGGCGCGGUUGUCACUUCCCCUGCCCUAGGCAACCUGCUGGUCCAGCUCCCCUUUCACUUCCCCGCCCCACUGUGGAGCACCAGCCACCAUUCGCUUGUAUUUAUAUAGAUAAAUCGGCCGGGCUAAUUAAAGUGCUCUUGCUGCAGUGAGAGAAUUAAUAAAAGAACUUGGAAUGGAGCCGACCUAAAGCUGGGGCGCUGGGAGUCAGAGCUGAACCCUUGGCAGCAAAGGAGGCCAGAGGAGCCAGCAGACACAGUCCUCAGCUCAGCAAGUCCCCAAGCUGGUCUUUGAUGGGACAGGAUAUUCAACAGAAGCCCUAGUACCAGCUCAAGUACAGCUGCAGGUUCAGCCCUGACCUGGGAUUCUGCAAGCACCCCUGACUGUUCUGACCCAGAGCGGCCCCUCCCGCCCUGCAUCUGAGACCCAGGCCUCCUGGACUCCAGCGCUCAGUUGGGACCGAGGGAGAAGGGCUCUGUGCCUGCGGGGACCCAGGCACAAAUUGGGAUGUCCUGCUGCAUUACUUCCGCUGAGCUGGGCAUCAACCUCCCACCUCCAGCACCCAGGCAAGUGGGGAUAGUCAAGGGGGUGGGAUGGCGGUGGGGGAAGGGACCAAGCAGCCACCAGGCCUCCAUCAAAGGCGAUGGAGAGAGGGCAGCCCAGCAGAGAGGAUUUUUAAUGACCCCAAAUCCUGGUACCUCAUUAUGACUCUGAUAAGGUGAUGGGGCUGUCACUUCCAGAUGCAGCCAAGGGCUCCCUGGAGAAAUUUUCCUGCAUUCCUGCUAAUCUUCUUAUAAACAUUGUUAUUUAUUUUCCCUUAUUUUAUCCGACAUGUGUCAAGCAGCCCCUGCUAAGCCUGUGACAUCUCCAGGGAGACCAGAGGAGGUUGGCCUGUCAGUGCCAUAGUCCUGCCCCCUUUCCAGGCCUAUUCUCUAGCCGACAUGUUGUCGGGCCUGAAUGGGUAAUUUUCUGAUGUCUCUAAGAGUUUGGGCUGGGCCAGAACUGGGCAACUGGGAUCCGGGUGUUAAGUUAGCAGGUCGCAGGCCAUGUCAACUGGGGCUGGUUCCAAAGGAAAUGUGUGUGCGUCAUGGGCAGUGUAGUGUAUUAACGAGCUCUCUUGAAGCCUCAGGCUUGCCCUGGGUGUCCUUGGCUAAUACCCAGAGUGGCCAUCGAUGUGUGUGGCUCUGACUGAGGCUGCCCUAUCUCAGGCCCCAUAGUAAGCUAUGUAAGUAAGUUAAGUAAGUAACAGUGUCCUGUUCUUCCUCAGCAAGGAAAGCAAAGGCCAGGGGGUGAGACGUAUACCUAGGCUUGGCAGCCCAGGCUGCAAAGGGGCUGAUGCUUACCUAGGCUUUGACACUGGGGCUCGAUGCAAGGUCAAUGUCAUGGUCCCUUCACAGUUCCCAGGGACCACCUCCACCAACCAUUCAUGAACCAGGAUGGAGUAAAGCCCAAGGUCUUCUUCCUACCUCAGUCCACAAAAACAGGCUAAGAGAAGCUUCCUGGGUGCUGGGACUCCAGGUGUGUGCAGACCCCACUCAUGAGAAUGGCUUUGAGCAGAGCCUGUGGAAGGCACCAAAUACAGCCACCAAAGCUCCCAAGGAGUUUAUAGUCACCAUGGAGAUACCAACACAAGUCCACGGUUUCAGGAGGUGAAGUGUGAGCCUGCACUGUAUGUAUCUGGUCUUAGCAGCUAGCUUCCAAGAAAGGAGAGUGAAGAGGAACUCCAUAGUCCCACCAUGGAAGAAUCUGGAAGAUGUCAUCACGCAGGUCCUCAUGGCAAGUCCUAUCCAUGGUGGAUCCAUGAUGUGACAGCAAUCCCUGGGGGGUGGGGUCUCUGUCUGGAAAUAUUAUAUAACUCGUAUCACUCACGGUGUGCUGCUUUUCAGACUGCGUUCUUUCCCUCAUUGAUAUUUAUUUAAGUUUCCUCUCUGAGUUAGCUUUUAAAGGUAAAUGGUUUAGUAUUCUUCUGUCCUUCACCAAAGUUUAUCAAUUCCCCUACUAAAGGUCAUAUUGAUUGCCUAAAAGGUUUGGCAGUUUCCCUCCCCCCACCUCUCUCUCUGCAUCUUUGUUUUUAAAGAAUUAUUUAUUUAUUUCGUGUGUAUCUAUCCUCAAACACACCAGAAGAGGGCAUCAGAUCCCGUUACAGAUGAUUGUGAGCCACCAUGUGGUUGCUGGGAAUUGAACUCAUGACCUCUGGAAGAGCAGUCAGCGCUCCUAGUUGCUGAGCCAUCUUUGUAUAUAGACAGAUAAAUGCUUGUCUUGUAGAGUUAAAAUACGAAGCCGGGUAGUUGCUGGGGAAAGAGAGUGAAAAGCCUGCUAAUCUGUCUUCUAUAGCAGAGGCCCCAGGGGGUGGGUUGUUGUUUGUUUGUUUGCUUCCUUUUGUUUGUUUGUUUCCAUGCCUACAAUCAGCCAAUGAGUGGUCCUGUUGCUCCAGCCCUCCACAGCACUGGCUGCUAUUAGAGUUCCUGAUCAUUUGCAAAGCAUCAAUGGCAGAGGUAAAGAAUAAAUCCUAUCGGUCCAUUUCCACCAUGAGAUGUGUUUAGAGCUCACUGGAGAAUCACAAAGAAGCAGGAGGCGGUAGCUUCCUGUCUUCCCUCGCUGGAGGAUGGAGCUUGCUCAUUGACGCCGUCUCAAUUCAUCCUGGGGUUUGCAAAGUUCCAGUCAGUCUGCUGUGUUGCUGAGCCCAUGUAUCAGAAAGAGAGGGAAUCUCAGGCUCCAGGAUGUACUUUAGGGGUUGGGAGUAUGCUGACUGGGAGAGUGCUUACCCAGCAUGCACUGAGCCCUGGGCGUGGUCCUCAGCAGUAAAUACAGGAGGUGUGGAUCCUGCGCAUUGCCUUCUGAGCCCAUUCUCUCUUGUGUUAAACAGUGGUAUCUUGACAGAUGAAGCUUGGAGAGGCUGAGGGACAAGUCCAAGGGGCUGCAGGAAAGGAACGGUCCUGGUCCAGAUGAGAAGGAGAGCAGGCCAAGGAGGCAGCACCAUCAACAGGCGGCCCAGCCCCCUGACUCCACUUUGUGGAAGAUCAGAAGGCUGAGGUUCAGAGCCAUCAUAAUUUGUUGAAGGUCACACAGCAAAUGGACAGAGAGCAGCUGGUCAGAAUGAGGCCUCUGAGCUUCAGCUGAUGUCUUCCACCCCCCAGAAAUGAGGUGCAGGGGGUCACCUGGUUCUCAAGAUAAGGAGUAGCUGCCAGGCACAGUGGCUCACAGCCAUAAGCCCAACAGGUCUCAGGCCAGCCUGGACUGCACAUCAGGACCUUGGCUCAAAAUAACAGAGGAAAUGAAAAAAAUACAGACUUGCCUAGCAGAGUCCUGUUCAGUAUGGGUUAUAGUUGGACCCAGAGAACUUACUAAGCAAAGAGCAAUUGUUGGUGACAAUGGGUUAAUCCAUAGACAAUGUCUGUGCUUGUCCCAGGCUCAGGGGGACAGACUGGCCCUGCCUGAGCCCCUUCCAGCACAAGAUCAUGAUUCCCAGAAUACCAAGAGAAUGGAUGGCCAUCAGCCUCAGUGAAGCUCUCUAAGUCUCCUUGUCUUCUAUCAGCUCCCACCGUGAUGCAAGCCAGGGAAGGUGUGGGGCAAUUUAUUGCUUUAUCAAUAUUUAAUAUCUCCAGGGAGGUGACAUCAGCAAAAUUGCCUGGCCUUACAGAACCAUCUAGAUAGACAGUGGGACAGGCCCUUCAUCUCUCUGAAUGCCCAGUCCUCCCCACAUGGGGGACAGAUAAGAUUUAUAGACGCCUGUAAGAGGUAUAAUGUUGUAGAGGUUGGCCUCUUGAGCUAGUCAGGGGACCUGCUACCCAGGACCCCCACAAUCCCUCCCCCCUCUGCUUGUCACUUGGUCUAGUAGCAUGCAAGCCAGGUGGCUAUGCCACAGGAUUGAGGUCUAGGUCCUUGGCUGUUCUGGGACAUCAGUGAAGGGAGGCAGGGUGUCGGUAGUGCUGUGUGCUGAUCAACCCUUUAGAUGGAGGACACCAGGGAUAGUAGCCCUGGAUCCCUAGCCUCUACUCUCCCUGGGGCUCAGCUUCCCCUUCUGGAGAAUAUUCUGAGACACAGGCGAUGCUUCUCACUAGCUCUGGAGGGCAGACACCAGGCCACCUAAGGUGGCCAGCCCUCUGCUCUGCCCAGGAGAAUAAGGGAGGCCCAGAGGCAUGAUGGAAACAAGUCGUUGGAAGCUGGAGUGAGGGAAAAGAAAUGCAGAGAGGGAGCCUUGUGUUGUUUGUGUCUCUGGGGUCUCAGAGUUCCCAUUGCUAUUAUCUGGGGACACUGUGGUGGUUUGAAUAUGCUUAGCCCAGCGAGUGGCACUAUUAGCAGGUGUGGCCUUGUUGUAGUGGGUGUGGCCUUGUUGUGGUGGGUGUGGCCUUGUUGGAGGAGGCGUGGCCUUAUUGAAGGAAAUAUGUCACUGUGAGGUUGGGCUUUGAGACCCUCCUUCUAGCCACAUGGGAGACAAUCUUCUGUUUGCCUUCAGAACAAGAAGUAAAACCCUCAGCCCCUCCUGCACCAUGCCUGUCUAGAUGCUGCCAUGCUCCUGCCUUGAUGAUAAUGGACUGAACCUCUGAACCUCCCACCUUUGGCAAGCGUCCACGGGCAGACAGGCCACAGGAGAGGCGGGGAUAAAAAUAGCAGCUCAGCUGAGCGUCUGCCAUGUGCCAGCCACUCUUGAGAAGCACAUCAAAAAUCAGCUCAUCCAAGCCUCAGCUCCCCACGGUGGAGGUGCUGUCACGCCUCUGUCUCGCCGCAGGAAGACUGACAACCAACCGUGCAGCCAGCAAGAAGCACGCGGUUACCUCGUCCAGCACCACGACAAACGCCUGGUGUGUUACCCACAUCCUAAGAGAAUGAAGGUUGUUUGGGCUCACAGUUCAGACUCGUAGAUAAGCAGCACGUGCUGAGGGCGAGCACAGCGGAGCAAGGCUGCUCAGAAGCUCGUGACCCAGAAAUCAAAACUGAGAAGAGGAAGAGACAGCACUGGAAGGAGGCCUCAGGAUCGACACAUGAGGACAAACCCACUCUGAGCAUCUCCCACCAGGCCUCAGUUUUUAAGGUUUCUGCCAUUGCUGCCUGUGAGUGGUGCCAGGCCCCCCCCCCCUCUCUCUCUCCUCUGUCUCUCUUUCUCUCUGUAUGUGUGUGUGUUCAAGAGUGUGUGUGUGUAUGUGGGUGUGUUCAGGUGUGUGUGCAUAGUGUGUGUAGUGUAUGUAUGUGUGUGUAUGUUUGUGUGUGUAUGUUUGUGUGUGUGUGUGUAUGUAUGUUCAGGAGUGUAUGUGUGUGUGUGUGUUCAGGUUUGUAUGUGUAGUGUGUGUAGUACAUAUGUGUGUAUAUGUUCAUGUGUGUGUGUGCGUGUGUGUAUGUAUGUUCAGGAGUGUGUGUGUGUAUGUGUGUUCAGGUGUAUGUUCAGGAGUGUGUGUGUGUUCAGGUGUGUGUGUGUGUGUGUGUUUAGGAGUGUGUGGUGUUCAGGAGAGUGUGUGUAGUGUGUGUGUAUGUUUGUGUGUGUGUGUGUGUGUGUGUGUGUGUGUGUGUGUGUGUGUGUUCAGGUGUGCUUGCUCAUGUAGACUCAUGUAGAGGUCAUGGGUUGACACUGAGUCCAGCCUCUUCUGCUUUCCCCCUUUCCUUCUGAGACCUCUUACUGAACCUGGAGCUCAGUACACUGAAGGCCAGCACACCCCUGGAUCUGUCUGUCUCCACCUCCCAGCACUAAGGUGACAGAUGUACCCCACCAUGCCUGCUUUCCACAUAGGUACUGAAGACCUGAGCUACUUCACCCACUGAGGUAUCUCCUUGACCUCAGAUAGCCUUAGUCCUGGGUGAAGAAGACAGCAUUGUCCCCAGCGGGCAGAGGUAACACAAGGUCCUGAACUUGAACCAGCACUGCCAAGCAGACAAGAGCCUGGGCAUGGGUAGGGAUGGGGGUGUGGGGGAUGAUUAGAUACUUUCCGGAAAACACGAGAAAGGGGCAGCGGGGAAGGGAGAGCCUUUCCUUUGGAGCCCGUCCUGCCUCAGCUCCCUGGCUGACCUCAGAGACUCAUUGCAACCUGGAAUUGGUUGAGAUCUGGCAGGCUCACACUUUGAAUGCUUGGUCGUCAGCUGGUGACUCUAAUUUGGGGAGCUGUGGGGACUUCAGAGGUAGAGAUUGGCUGAUGACAGGCGACUGGAGGCAGGCAGACCUUUGAUGGUGACAGCGUCUCCUGGUUUUAGAAAGCUCUCUUCAUUCCUAUCCCAGCCUGAGGUGAACAGUCAGGAUCUCGCACUCCCGCUACCAUGGAUAGAACCACUUCACUGUGCCUUUGCUACCACAAUGGAUUAAAAUCCCCCCGAAACCCUGAGCCGAAAUAAGCCACCCCUCCCUUAUGUUUUUGUGUUGGGCAUCCGGUCAUGGUGACACAGAGUUAACACAAAGAUGCUGAAGCUAACAGAAGUUAGCAAGGCCUCCACCCCGCAGGCCCCACCUAGUGGAAGGCUGAGCCAGCUCUGCCCGCCAGUGCCGGCUGUUACCAUUAGUGAGAAAGGCACUUUUGAGAUCUUGAUCACAUGAGAUCUAGGCAGGGAGGGAAUGCGGUGGAAUCACCCGGACACUAAAUGUCAGUGUAUCCAUGCCUGGCUAGGCUCCCAUGCCUCAGGCCGCAUCCAGUGGUCCAGGGCGUACCACUGAGUCUGGUGUAUAUCAAGGAUGGAGAAUUCCUGGUCCCCAGGAUCGAGACUUCCCUUGUGCCUGCAGAGGUUUGGAGGAGCUCCUUGCUCUGCUCUGUCCACUACUAUAUAUGUCAAGAGAGGCGGUUCCCCGAGUGGGUAAUCAGAUGUCACCAUGUGAACUAUGUCACCAUGUCACUAUGAGGAGGAACGAGAGGCUCCUCAUGGAAGUAAACCCAAGAUACUCAGUGCUGGAGAGGCCAAGGGACCCUGCAGAGCCAGAGCUGUGGAGAGAAACCACAGCCAGGAGAAAGAUCUUCCUCCUCUAGGUAACCCCAACCCUGACUGACAGUCUGGUAACAAACAGGCAGGAGGCAUCUCUUCUUAGACAACCCCUUGCUCAUAACCAGAAGCUCCUCAUGACCUCAUGGUGGAGCCUACGUAUGUGUGCAUAUGUGUGCAUAUGUGUGCAGGUGUAUGCAUGUGUCCAUGUGUCCAUAUGUGUUGUGCAUGUGUAUAACUAUGUUGGUAGGCAUGUGUACAUGUGUGUUUUUUUUGUGUGUAUAUGUAUGUAUAUGUGUGUACAUGUGUGUAUGUGCUUAUGUGUGUAUGUGUGAACAUGUGCAUGUGUAUAUGUAUGUGUUCAUAUGUAUAGGUGUGCAUAUGCACUCACAUGUGCUUAUGUGCAUGUGUGUUUUAUGUGUGUAUGUGUGUGUGCACUCACAUGUGCUGUGUGUGCAUGUAUACAUGGUAUAUAUAUUGUGUGUAUGCACAUUCAUGUGCAUUCACAUGUACUUAUGACUUAUGUGCAUGUGUUUGUGUGUGAGUGCAUUCACAUGUACUGUGUGUAUGCAUGUGUACACAUUUUGUGCAUGUGUGCAUGUACAUGUGUGCUCACAUGUAUUUAUGUGCAUGUGUUUGUGUGUGUUCAUGCACACACUUGCAUGUGCUGUAUGUAUAUGUGUUUGCAUGUGUGACAGAGAGACCUACCUGUCCUUUCUCUCUUGUACCAGUACCAUACAUCCUUAGCUCUCCUAUUCCCUAGUCUGCUCUCUGAACACCCCCAGGCUUCAUCUAGCUCUGCUUCUUUAAUCGCCUUUCUUUUCCCAUGUUCAUUGCUAUGUCCCACACACUUCUACUUGUUAACUGCCUCGUGACAUGUUCCAGAACAGUGUUAUUGUCCCUUAAGCUACUGUCAUCCCAUAGCACACUUCCUCUCCCAUGGUAGACAAUGGCACUGACUCAAGGCCACACUUCUGGGCCCAAAUCACUUUGUGAAAACGUCUUUGGAUGUAUCCUCCCUGCUUUGGGGGGCUCUUGGUUGUCUUUCCUUCCAUAGGAAGGGUAAGUGUGUGGAGAGAGUCCUCAGUCCCUUUCUGCCUCAAGCAUCUGUCUUCAUCAGGCAGGAGAGGGACCUGGGUCUGCUCACUCAGUUCGCUUUCUGUAAAAAUCAUGUGGCAGUUUGAGGGCUCAAAUCUGCCAUCUUUCUAAUCUCCAAGGUCUUGGCAAUGUCUCCUCCAUUCUGGGUGGUUGGAGCGAGGGUGAGCUGAGGCUGGCAGACCCCAUGUGGGUUUUCCUGCCAGCUGAGAGGCCAGACCAAUGGGUUUCCAGUUCUGCCACCCUCCACUGAGAACUCAAACUCCUGCCAUGAGAGCCUAAGGGGAGAGAUAUUUAUGGUUUAAUAACUGGCCUAUUGAUUCUCAUUUAUAUGCCGCCAAUGGGGCUUACCCGAGGAAGCGGAGGUGAAGGGGAUGUUUGUAAAUACGUUUCUGGCCUGCCCAUCACUCAGCCUGCCAGCCUCGCUUGUGAGCAAGAGGUGAGCCAGGUUAAUAGACUGCACGCCCUCUGUUUAGCUAAGGCCCGACACACAGCCUGGGGACACCAGCCACACAGGCCAAUUGUGCACCCUCCCGAGCCCCAGUCUUUCUAGGUUCUCUUCAGUGUUGGCCAAUAAUAAUUCCACAAUCACCAUCACGACUCACCAAGAACAAGAGGGCAUAAUACCCCACUUAAUGGGUAAGAACACAAAAGCAGAUUCACUCCUUCUAGCCCAGUGCCUGACCACAGCCACUCCCUGCGCUUCUGAAGUGAUUUUAAAGUCCUGUGGCCAGAACUGCUGAGAAGACAGUUUGGAGCAGCACUCCUAGCCACUGUUAGGUGACAGUGACAGUUUGUAUAAGCUUGGCUCAAGGAGUGGCACUAUUAGGAGGUGUGGCCUUGUUGGAGUGGGUGUGGCCUUGGAGUGGGUGUGGUCUUGUUGGAGUGGGUGUGGCCUUGUUAGAGUGGGUGUGUCAUUGUGGGCGUGGGCUUAAGACCCUUGUCCUAGCUGCUUGGAAGUCAGUCUUCUUGCAGCCUUCAGAUAAAGAUGAACUCUCAGCUCCUCCUGCACCAUGCCUGCCUGGACGCUGCCAUGCCUCUCACUUUGAUGAUAACGGACUGAACUUCUGAACCUGUAUGCCAGCCCCAAAUAAAUGUUGUCCUUAUAA